rnacentral:rRNA from 1 species
GCGGGGGCACGGGGGGAGGAAAGUAGGGGAUCGUAAGACCUUGCGCUUUUGGAGCGGCCGAUGCCUGAUUAGCUAGUUGGUGGGGUAAUGGCCUACCAAAGCUUCGAUCAGUAGCUGGUCUGAGAGGACGGCCAGCCACACUGGGACUGAGACACGGCCCAGACUCCUACGGGAGGCAGCAGUGGGGAAUUUUGGACAAUGGGCGCAAGCCUGAUCCAGCCAUGCCGCGUGAGUGAAGAAGGCCUUCGGGUUGUAAAGCUCUUUCAGCCGGGAAGAAAAGGUUGCGAUUAAUAAUCGCAAUUUAUGACGGUACCGGAAGAAGAAGCACCGGCUAACUACGUGCCAGCAGCCGCGGUAAUACGUAGGGUGCGAGCGUUAAUCGGAAUUACUGGGCGUAAAGGGUNCGCAGGCGGUUUUGUAAGUCAGA